rnacentral:lncRNA from 1 species
AGUUGUGCUUCCUGAUGUCUUACUGAGAUGGCCUUUUUGGUCAUUUUGGGCCACUUUCCCAAGGAUACUGCAUGUUGCCUGACCUGUAUUCCUGAGGAAAUAAGGAGGACUUAGAUUGAUCUGUUUUGGACAGCGUACUUUCUCUAAGAAUGGCGAAAGGAAAAACAUCAGACUAGGAUGCUCUCCAGAAAUAAUAACUGAGAAUCUCAUCCUGUUGUGUAAACUCUCCUUGUACUUUGCUCUCUUUCUUUAGCUUGCCCAUGGUGAUGUGAAGAUGAGAAGAAAUAGCAAGGCCCAACCAGUUCUUCAUCUGGAGACAGUUCAACGUUCUGCAAACCAGAUCUUCAGGAAUUUUACUGGGAUAAUUAUCCAAAUAAAUUGCAAGCAUUCUAUCCAAAUGGAGCUCUUUCUGAGAUGAAGAGAAUUCUCAAUGUCAAGAUUUGAACAAGAAGAGAAUGGAAUACACAAUAUGGACAUCCAUAAAAAUUCAUCAGAGAGCAUUUUACUACUGAGCUGCAAAGGGAAAAACUUAAAAUGGAUAUGAAAAGUGAAGAAAGUGAUCAUAGGAGAAAACCAUUUCAGAUGACAAGAGCACCUCAAAGGCAGCAGCCUCAAGGAGCAGCCAUGGCCCCAGACUUGUCGCACGGAUGCAGAAAACUUAAUGGAGGAGGCUGAGGAACUCUUCCAGACUCUGGGAAAUAUGUCUCCAAGAAAGCAGACAAUACCCCUGCCCUCUGUGGAAGACUGACAAAUAUACAAGUGCAUAUGUAUAUAUAGACUGUCAGAUGAUGUAAGUAUGAUGAAGAAAAUGAAAGCCAUGUAAUGGGUGAUGGAGCGGGGCAUAGAAAGGUGCCAUUUGCUAUUUUAUAGAAGUAGAUCAGGGAAGACCAUGUCAUGGUAGAUAUCUGAGCAGAGACCAUUCCAGGUGUGGGAGCAUGUCAGAGAGGUAUCCAGGGGCAACAGUUCCAGGCAGAGAAAGCAUGAAGAGCAAGGUGCCCAAGGCCAGAGCAUGUGUGCUUGGCAUUUUCCAGGAGCAGCAAGGAAUUUAGUGUGGCUGAAGGAGAAUGAGCAAGGGAGAAAGCAGCAGGAGAGUGCACAUGAAGCCCUGUGUGCCAUUACGAAGACUCUGCUUUUUUUUUUUUUUUGAGUCGGAGUCUUGCUCUUCCGCCCAGGCCGGAGUGCAGUGGCGCGAUCUCGGCUCACUGCAAGCUCCGCCUCCCGGGUUCACGCCAUUCUCCUGCCUCAGCCUCCCGAGUAGCUGGGACUACAGGCGCCUGCCACCUCGCCUGGCUAAUUUUUUGCAUUUUUUUUAGUAGAGACGGGGUUUCACAGUGUUAGCCAGGAUGGUCUCGAUCUCCUGACCUCGUGAUCCGCCUGCCUCGGCCUCCCAAAGUGCUCACCCUCCCUACCUUUAGCGUCUGCCUCACCUCUUGUCUCUGUGUUCCUCUAUACCUGUGCUGUCUUGUAUGGUCACCACUAGCCACAUGUGUCUACUGAGAACUUGGAAUGGGGCUAGCCCAAAUGGACAAUAUGAGAAAAAUGUAAAAUAUCUCAAUACUUUUCGUAUUGUUUCAUACGUUGAAAUACAAAUAGUUUGAAUAUAUUUGAUUAAGAAAAAUGAAUUCCAUAUUUCUUUUCUUGUAAUUAACAUUUUUGUUUUGAGAUAAUUCUAGAUUUCCAUGCAGUUGUAAGACAUAACACAGAGAAAUCCUGUGUACCCUUUAUCCAGUUUUCCCAAUAGCAAUAUCCUGCAAAUCUUAGUCACAAUAUUGCUACUAGAAUAUUGACAAUGAUACUACCUUAUUCAUAUUUUCCUAAUUUUAAUUGUACUCCUUUGUGUGUUUGUGAGUGUGUGUAGGUGUUUAGUUCUGUGCAACUUUAUCACAUGUGUAGGUUGUAUCUACCACCACAUCAAAAUACAGAACUGUUCCUUCAUCACAGAUUCCUUAUAGUUCCCUUUUAUAGCCACUCUGCCCUCCUUCCUGUGCCCUGUCCCUGCCCAGCCCUGACCCCUAGCAACUACUGGUCUUUUCUCCAUUUCUAAAUUUUUGUCCUUUAAAGAAUUUUGUGUAAAUGAAAUCAUACAGUAUGUAAACUUUUGGGAUUGCCUUUUUUUUCCUUAGCAUAAUUCUCUGAAGAUUAAUCCAAGUCAUUUUAACAGUUCAUUCUUCUUUUUUUGCUGAGUAAUAUCCCCUGGUAGGGAUGUACCACAAAUUUUAUUUAACUACUUGCCCAUUGAAGUACCAAGUUGGUUCCUGUUUUUGCUAUAAUCAUUUCUGUACAGGUUUUUGUAUAAUCAUGAAUUAUAUUUGUCUAGUUUAAAGGCUCAAGAGUCCAAUUGCUAAAUCACAUGGUAACGGCAUGUUUAUUUUAUAAGAUUGCCUGAUUGUUUUCCAUGGUGUCUGUACCCAUCUGUUGCAUUUUGCUCUUUUUCACUGUGGCUAUUAGACAAUUUAAAAUUACAUACAUAAUUUUUCACAUUUGUAAUAAUUUUUCACAUUUCAAAAGAACAGCACCCAGACAGUUCUUGUUCUCAAGAACAGGACUUGAGACAGUCCUGUUCUCCAGUACCAAGCUCUUACCACCUCAGGCUUUCCCAGGUGCCUCGAUUUCUAGCUGGAGUGUGUUCUCAUUAUUCCCGGACAGAUGCACAGACUUCUACAGCACAGUGAGUGGUUAAAAAAAGAAUCUAAAACUAAGCAACCUGGGUUUGGAUGCUGGGUCUGUCCCUUACUGGCUCUGUGAUUUGUUAAGGUAUUUAAUGCCUUUGUUCCUCAGUUUUCUUAUCUGUGAACAGGGUGACUGUAGCAGUACUGAUGUCAUUAGGUUGGUUUGAGGGUUGAGUGAGUUAGUACAUGUAAAAUUGGGUCCCAUUGAAACCCUUCUAACCCUUUACCCAAGAGUAGGUUUAAAUCCUCAUAUAGACUUCCAUUGCAGUCAAUGUCCUUGUUAAAAUUGUAAUUACAUGAUUGUAUUAGUCUGUUUUCAUGCUGCUGAUAAAGACAUACCCAAUACUGGGCAAUUUACAGAAGAAAGAGGUUUAAUGGAUUUACAGUUCCACAUGGCUGGGGAGGCCUCACAAUCAUGGUGGAGGGCAAAAAGGAGCAAGUCACGUCUUACAUGGAUGGCAACAGGCAAAGAGAGAGCUUGUCCAGGGAAACUCCUGUUUUUAAAACCAUCAGAUCUCGUGAGACUCAUUCACCAUCAUGAGAACAAUGCAGGAAAGACCUGCCCCCAUAAUUCAAUCACCUCCCACCAGGUUCCUCCCACAACACGUGGGAAUUGUGGGAGCUGCAAUUCAAGAUGAGAUUUGGGUGGGGACAUGGCCAAACCAUAUCAAUGAUUGUUUCAUAUUUUUCUCCACUACUGGAAUCUAAAUACCUAUGAGGCCAGUGACCUCAUCUAUCUGAUUUAGUGCUGUAUCCUCAUUGCUAGCACAGAACUAGUUAAGAGAAGGCACUUAUCACUUAAGAAUGAAUGAAUGAAUGAAUGAAUUUCCUUCAAUGUAAACAUUUACUCACUAUUUACUUAAAGUACUAUUUUGUUUAAUUUAUCCUUUCUUAAUGUUUAAAAGAUCAUGUAUUAUUCAUGUUUCUCUGAUUCGGAAGACUAGGCCUCUAAGUUAUCUGAACAGUUUUUACAUGAAGAUCCCAUGUAUUCUGAAAUAAAAAUUGUUCCAGUGUAAUGACAAAAAUCAAAUGAAAAAAUAAUUAGACAUAUCUGUAUGAUACUAUUUGAUUGUUAGUUUUGUUUAAUGUGUGUGGCUUAAAUAAUCAUUUUAUUGUUAUACUAGGAUAGGUUGACAGAAUCCAUGUUACUUAACUGCUUCCUUUGGCUUUAUGGGCCUUUUGAAGUCUUAGCCCCCAAAGCAUCAGUAGGUGAUAUUGACAUUGAAGUACUUCUUUAUCUCUCUGCAGAUAAUUUUAUCUCAUUAUUUCAAUUAUUUAUGGCUUCAAUUAGGUAACCUCCAUGACAUUCUUAGGAAAUUCAGAAAAAAACAUGGCACAACUUCGAUGAUUUUCAUUUAGCCACUCUCUAAGACCCAAACUGUGUACCAACCAUCAUGAUCAACAGCAUAUGCUUUUACACACACACACACACACACACACACGUGCACACACACACACACAUUUUGUUAGUUAUCUACCUUUACUUCCUCAUACUACUGAGGGCAGUUUCUGUAGUAGAAAGAACACUGACUUAUGCUUAUUCUGAGCUAGGGUGAGUUAGGCUCUUGCUCUACCAUUUUUAUUAACUCUGAAGUCUUGAAAAGACCAAUUAGCAUGUUUCAGCCUUCAUUUGCUACAUACUGGGAAUCAUACCUGGAGGAAUCACAUUGAUGACAAAACACAAGAGUCCAUGUAUAGAACCGUAAUAAUAAAUAGCUCCAUAUUUGGAUAGUACUAGCCCACGUGCUGAAUCUCAGGGACAUACUUACAGAUGUACGUUUCCUCCAAUUUCCCCUAUAUGCCCUCAAAGGCAGGUAUCAUUGGGCCAAUGUUAUACAUUAAAUAUGCUGAGUAUCAGAAGUGAAAUUUAACUUCACACAGUUAUGUGACAAGACUGUGCUAUAAAACCAUGACUAAAUCCAAACUGAUCCAUAGGAGGGUAAAAUGUCCGUUUUCUUCAUUAAAACUUCUCAGCUCAAAUUUAUACUAAAGCAUAUCCAGGAAUUAAAAAAAAGGUUUUGAUGAUAUUUGCUUUCUAGUUUAAUAAGUUUUAAUACUGAAUAGGUUAAAUUAAUACAAAAUAACAUAAAAUGCUAAUAUUUAUUGAGUAUUUACUUUGUACCCACUACGAUCUUAAGUAAUUUACUGGGAUUAUUUUAUUUUAGUUUAACAAUGCAGGUAGCUACUAUAAUCGUCCCUAUUUUACACUUGAGGAAACAGGCUAAGAGAGAUUAAAUUAGUGGCCCAAGGUCAGAAAGCUCGUAAUUCUUGAAGCCAGGGUAUGAUUCUGUGUAACGUGAGGGUUCAAGCCUUUACCAGUGAUGCAUGUUGCCUCUUAUUUCAUUAAUUUAAAUUGGUCAUUUGGGUUAAUCACAUAGAAGGUGACGUUCCAUUUUGUUUUUGUAUGACUUGCAUUCUUCAACAUUUUUCAUCCACAGUGCGAUAAAAUAAUAUCAUGUUCAUUCUCUUCUAUACCUUUACAUUUGUGUUUCCCUAUGGCCUUUAUAAAUAAAACAAACAAUUUCAAUAGCAAAUCCUUGCGUGAAGUGAGUUAGUGCAUCUGGCUCCUCCCAUUUUCCUGUUGCAACCCAAGGACUUUGAGGGUCAUCAUCAUAUCUACCUAUAGGCCAGCAAUAAUUUUCAUGAUUGGGUAACUCUAGUACUAUGGAUAUGAAAAUGUAAUACUACAUUUCUUAAAAAAUUACUUCUAUUUUAGUAGAUCUCUAUAUAACUACCUUCUGGAAUAACAAUAUUAUGUGGAUUAUUUUUUCUAAUUAAAAUAUUAAAUCUUUAUUUAAAGACUGCUGUUCAUUUGGCUAUUUAUUUACACAUUACAUAUGAGUCUCUGUUUGGAAUUUGUUAGUUUCUAUACAUCUGCUCCAUGAGCUAUUUGUGUGUGAAAGUUGCUGCUUUAUAAGAACAUUUGCCUUUACGUGUUGCUAUUUUAUUAUUGCUAUAUUUAAUUGGAAUGCCUCUAUUGUGUAACCAGAAAGAGUUUUCCAAACUUGGGAAUGUUUGCAUCACAUAGUAUAGAGAUGUUUAUUUAUUUAUUUAAUUUCAUUUCCCUAAGAUAUCAACUUUGAUUAAUAAUUAUAUACAGGCUUUGUUCUUCUUAUCUGGGUGUCAACAGUAAUUGGAAUCCAUAUCCAUAUCCUACCUUGCAAUCAUGCUGCAAAAGGCCAAUAAAUUCCCGCUGAGUGUGUUACUUGUUAAAUUUAGUGCAUUACAUUCAGGGUAAUGAAUAAAAGCAGUGGACCGUUACCGUCUGGCUGGCUGAGGAAGGUUAGAACAGCCAGACUCCCCUGAGGCCUUGAGCCAGCUUAAAAACGGUGACAGGCAGAAUCAAGGGAGUCCCCAAGCAUCACAGUUCAGUUUGUCUCCCUUAAUUUCCUCUUCUGUAGAGACUCAGGCUGUAGGGAGGUGAGGUAAUCUUAUCCAUUAAUUCACCACACUUUCAUAAAAUGCUGCGUGCUCUGGUUUCAUUAACAAGCAAAUACAGUUUAGAUAAAUAGUUAUGUAUUUACAUUUGAGUAGGGAAGUGAGAAUGCUACUGAAUGUAAACAAGUGGCUACAGCUUCAUGCAGUUCACUUUGCAUAUCCACAUAUGUCUAUUGUGUAUUCAUUUGUCUGUAUUAAAAAUGCACAUAGAUAUUUUUGUGAGUGAAUAAUCAAUAAAGCAAGCCCCAUAGGUAUAUAUGUCUACCUACCUCCAUCUCAUAUUUAUUAAACAC